AAAUAGAUACCCCGGUAGUCCACGCCGUAAACGAUGGAUGCUAGCUGUUAUGCGUAUCGACCCGUGUAGUAGCGAAGCUAACGCGUUAAGCAUCCCCGCCUGGGGAGUACGAACGCAAGUUUAAAACUCAAAGGAAUUGACGGGGACCCGCACAAGCGGUGGAGCGUGUUCUUUAAUUCGAGGCUAAGCGAAGAACCUUACCAGGGCUUGACAUCCUUGGAAUUUCUCCGAAAGGAGAGAGUACUUUAUUGGACCUAGUGACAGGUGCUGCAUGGCCGUCGUCAGCUCGUGUCGUGAGAUGUUUGGUUAAGUCCAUUAACGAGCGCAACCCUUAUGAAUAGUUGUAUUUUUCUAUUCAGACUGCCCCGGUAACGGGGAGGAAGGGGGGGAUGGAUGUCAGGUCAGUAUUGCCCUUACGCCCUGGGCUAGAAACGCGCUACAAUGGCCGGUACAAUGCGCUGCCAACCCGCGAGGGGGAGCAAAUCGCAUCAAAGCCGGUCCCAGUUCGGAUAAGAGGCUGAAACUCGCCUCUUUGAAGCCGGAAUCGCUAGUAAUCGU
rnacentral:rRNA from 1 species